GGUGGCUCAGUGGUAGAGUGCUUGCCUUGCAUGCAUAAGGCCCUGGGUUUGAUUCCCCAGCACCA
rnacentral:tRNA from 1 species